UGGGGAAUCUUGGACAAUGGGGGCAACCCUGAUCCAGCGACGCCGCGUGGGUGGUAAGGCCUUCGGGUUGUAAAGCCCUUUCACCGGGGAAGAUGAUGACAUUACCCGGAGAAGAAGCGCCGGCUAACUCGGUGCCAGCAGCCGCGGUAAUACGGAGGGGACUAGCGUUGUUCGGAAUUACUGGGCGUAAAGCGCGCGUAGGCGGAUUGGAAAGUCGGGGGUGAAAUCCCGGGGCUCAACCCCGGAACUGCCUCCAAAACUAUCAGUCUAGAGUUCGAGAGAGGUGAGUGGAAUUCCGAGUGUAGAGGUGAAAUUCGUAGAUAUUCGGAGGAACACCAGUGGCGAAGGCGGCUCACUGGCUCGAUACUGACGCUGAGGUGCGAAAGCGUGGGGAGCAAACAGGAUUAGAUACCCGCGUAGUCC
rnacentral:rRNA from 1 species